CUUUUAUUCAGAGUGGUGGAGAUACAAAGGAUCUGUGAAGCCACGGCAACCCCGGAGAAUCCAGGAAGGUGCCAACCUGAGCGAGCAAUCGAACAAUAAGAG
rnacentral:ncRNA from 2 species